rnacentral:rRNA from 1 species
UACGUAGGGUGCGAGCGUUAAUCGGAAUUACUGGGCGUAAAGCGUGCGCAGGCGGUUCGUUGUGUCGGUGGUGAAAGCCCCGGGCUUAACCUGGGAAUGGCCAUGGAAACUGGCGAACUGGAGUGUGGCAGAGGGAAGUGGAAUUCCUGGUGUAGAGGUGAAAUUCGUAGAUAUCAGGAGGAACACCAGUGGCGAAGGCGGCUUCCUGGACACCAACUGACGCUGAGACGCGAAAGCGUGGGGAGCAAACAGG